AUGAUUGAUAGCGGUGUUCGACCGAAUGCUGUGACAUACGGUAGCCUGAUCCAUGGAUAUUCCACUUCAGGCCAGUUUGAAGAGGUAGUUAGGUUAUUGGAAGAAAUGAGAGGUCAAGGUGUCGAACCAAAUCUUUUUACUCACAACACAGUCAUGGACUACCUUUGCAAGCAUGGAAGAACGAAAGAAGCUGCGGAACUUUUUUAUUCCAUGGCUGAGAAGGGCCAUAAACCUAAUAUGGUCUCAUUCUCUAUUAUGCUUCAUGGGUACGCUAUAGAAGGAUCCCUUGCUGAAAUGACUGAUCUCUGUGAGCUGAUGGCAAGAGACGGUAUCGUACCCAACAUCUGUAUUUUCAACAUACUGAUUAAUGCAUAUGCUAAGUGUGGAAUUAUGGAUGUGGCUAUGCUUUUCUUCGAAGACAUGUUGAAGCAGGGAGUGACCCCUGAUGAAGUCACAUAUUUAGCUGUAAUAGCUGGGUAUUGCAGAAUGGGCAGGAUGGAUGAUGCUAUCAAGAAAUUCAAUGAGAUGAUUGAUAUGGGAGUAGCACAUAGCUUAACUAUUUACAGGUGCAUGAUUCAUGGUUAUUUUCGUCAUGGCAAUUUCUUGAAAGCGAAGGAAUUGAUUACUGAAAUGAAGAACAAGGGUAUUCGUCCUUGUCCGCGAAAAAAGCCAAAGAAUUGA
rnacentral:rRNA from 1 species